GGAUUGCCUAGUAACGGCGAGUGAAGCGGCAACAGCUCAAAUUUGAAAGCUAGCCUUCGGGUUCGCAUUGUAAUUUGUAGAGGAUGAUUUGGGGAAGCCGCCUGUCUAAGUUCCUUGGAACAGGACGUCAUAGAGGGUGAGAAUCCCGUAUGUGACAGGAAAUGGCACCCUAUGUAAAUCUCCUUCGACGAGUCGAGUUGUUUGGGAAUGCAGCUCUAAAUGGGAGGUAAAUUUCUUCUAAAGCUAAAUAUUGGCGAGAGACCGAUAGCGCACAAGUAGAGUGAUCGAAAGAUGAAAAGCACUUUGGAAAGAGAGUUAAAAAGCACGUGAAAUUGUUGAAAGGGAAGCGCUUGCAAUCAGACUUGUUUAAACUGUUCGGCCGGUCUUCUGACCGGUUUACUCAGUUUGGACAGGCCAGCAUCAGUUUCGGCGGCCGGAUAAAGGCUCUGGGAAUGUGGCCUCCACUUCGGUGGAGGUGUUAUAGCCCAGGGUGUAAUACGGCCAGCCGGGACUGAGGUCCGCGCUUCGGCUAGGAUGCUGGCGUAAUGGUUGUAAGCGACCCGUCUUGAAACACGGACCAAA
rnacentral:rRNA from 1 species